rnacentral:tRNA from 1 species
UCCCCGGUGGCUCAAAUGGUAAAGAAUCCACCUGCAAUGUGGGAGACCUGGGUUCGAUCCCUAGGUUGGGAA